rnacentral:snoRNA from 1 species
ACCCUCUGGCAAUGGGCAAGGAGACACCUGAUUGGUGGAGUUGCUCUUAUAUCAGUCAGGGGCAAAGCAGAUGUCAGUCCUUAGUUCAUCCCAGCUUGAUGUCUGUGUCGGUGGCCAGAGCUGUUUCAUGCCUGAGGCACAUAA